GGUCCGGUAGUUCAGUUUGGUUAGAACGCCUGCCUGUCACGCAGGAGGUCGCGAGUUCGAGUCUCGUCCGGACCG
rnacentral:tRNA from 1 species